rnacentral:rRNA from 1 species
UACGUAGGGUGCGAGCGUUGUCCGGAAUUAUUGGGCGUAAAGAGCUCGUAGGCGGUUUGUCGCGUCGGCCGUGAAAACUUGGGGCUUAACCCCGAGCCUGCGGUCGAUACGGGCAGACUUGAGUUCGGCAGGGGAGACUGGAAUUCCUGGUGUAGCGGUGAAAUGCGCAGAUAUCAGGAAGAACACCCGUGGCGAAGGCGGUUCUCUGGGAAUGUCCUGACGCUGAGGAGCGAAAGUGUGGGGAGCGAACAGG